CUUGAGCCCGGGAGGCGGAGGUUGCAGUGAGCUGAGAUCACGCCAUUGUACUGCAGCCUGGGCAACACAGCAAGACUCUGUCUCAAAAAAUAUAAAUAUAAAUAUAAACAAAUGAACAAAAAAGAGUGGGAGAUGAAAAUAAGUGUAACGGGGAAAUAAUGCAUGCAAGGAAAAAGGUUUGGAGUAGGGGGAUUUCAGUUUUAAACAGUAUGAUCAGGGUGGUUUCAUUGAGAAGGUGAUAGCUGAGCAAAGACCUGGAGUGAGUCCUGACGAUAUCGGGGGGAAGAGUGUCCCAGGCAGAGAGAACAGCAAGUGCAAAGGCCCUUAGGUGGGGACUGUAUCUAUCUUUUUUGGGGUGUGGGGGGACAGGGUGUGUCUUGCUCUGUUGCCCAGGCUGGAGCACAGUGGUGCGAUCACAGCUCACUGCAGCCUUGAACUCCUGGGCUCAAGCGAUCCUCCCAUCUCAGUCUCCCAAGUAGCUGGGACUACACUUGUAGCUGGGACUACAAGUGCGCUUCAUUACGUCUGGCUAAUUUUUUAAUUUCUGUAGAGAAAGAGGUCUUGCUAUGUUGCUCAGGCUGGUCUCAAACUCCUGGGCUCAAGUGAUCCUCCUGCCUCAGCCUUCCAAAGUGCUGAGAUUGUGCCUGGCUGUCUCUGUCUUCUUUGGGGAAAAGCAAGGCCAAUGUAGCUGAAGCAGAGAGGAGAGAAAGGUGAGGGCUGACUGCAUGGAGCCUCUGUGGGGCAUUGUGAUGGCUUUGAAGUCACCUUGCUUGAGGAGGCUGCCUCAGGGCCUUUGCAUAUCCUGAUCCUUCUGCCUGGCAUACUUUUCCCUCUGUUCUUUGCCAUGUUACCACAUCCUUUAGAUCUCAAACCAAAUAUUACUCCUUACACAAAGCCCUGCCUAACUUCAUACGCUCAUGGUUUAUAACACUCCAUAAUUACACAGGCCUUUGUGUCAUAAUUUGAUGACUGUCUGUCUUCUCCUUUGGGUAUGAGACCUUCAAGGGCAGGGGCCAGGGCUGUCUGGGUCCCUGCUGUUCUCUUCUUUGUGCACAUGGGUGGGCGGUGGCUAAGCACAGAGGAAGUUCUCAGCACAUAUUUGUGAAUGAGGAGCUAAGAUUCACGCACUCGCACUGUGCCUAGCUUUGUGCUAAAUCCUCUAUGCACCUGAUCCAAUUGGCGCUUCUCACUGGAGUGUCGGUCCCAUAAGGGCAGGGAGAUUCAUCCAUCCUGGUCACUGCUGUGUCUCUAGCACCUGGCACAGUGCCUGACACAAAGUAGGUGCUCAGUAAACAUGUUGGGUUUUUUGUUGUUUUUGAGAUAGGUUUUCACUUUGUCACCCAGUCUGGAGUGCAGUGGCACAAACACAGCUCACCGCAGCCUCGACCUCCUGGGCUCAAGUGAUCCUCCUACUUCAGCUCCCACAAGUAGCUGGGACUGCAGCUAUGUGCCAUCAUGCCUGGCUGAUGUUUAUAUGUUUUGUAGAGACGAGGUUUCACCAUGUUGCCCAGGCUGGUCUUGAACUCCUGAGUUCAAGCGAUCCACCUGCCUUGGCCUCCCAAAGUGCUGGGAUUACUGGUAUGAACCACCACGCCCGACAGUAAAUAUGUUUUGAAUGAAUAAACUCUCAUAAAUG
rnacentral:lncRNA from 1 species